GCUCCAUCACCCAGGCUGGAGUGCAAUGGCGCGACCUCAGCUCACUGCAACCUCCUCCCAGGUUCAAGCGAUUCUUCUGCCUCAGCCUCCCGAGUAGCUUGGACUACAGGAUACAUGAAGAAGAUGGCCAUCUGCAAACCAGGAAGCAGGUCAUCAUGAGACACCAGAUCUAACAGCAUCUUGAUCUUGGAUUUCUCAGCCUCCAAAACUGAACUUAGAGUCAGCUCUUGUCCAGCUUAAGCCAGCUGAGACCAACAACUCUUCAACUGGGCCUGCAUGAGUGUCCAAUGGGUGACCCUUUGGCAUCACAGGACCAAGAGCUCCACCCUCAGAUCAUGCUAAAGCUGCAACUUUGUGGACAUGUGUUCUGUGAAGAGCUAUGAAGCUUGACUAUGCUUGUGCACAUCACCAGUUGCCUCACUGUUUCUUACCCCAAUUACCUUUCCCCAUCCCUCAGACCACCUUGCUCCUUUAUCCCAUAAAUACCCUAAAACCCCAUCUUUGGGAGCUGGAUUUGAGAUCUGUUCUCCUGUCUCCUCAUUUGGCUGCUUCAUGAA